AUCUGUAGCCAUGCCACCCUGAACAAGCUUGAUCUUGAUCUCAUGUGAUCUUGGAAGUUAAGCAGAGUCAGGCCUGGUUAGUACUUGGAUGGGAGACCACCUAGGAAGAGCAGGUGCUAUAGGAG
rnacentral:rRNA from 1 species